rnacentral:rRNA from 1 species
GACGAACCGUGCGAACGUUGUUCGGAUUCACUGGGCAUAAAGGGCGCGUAGGCGGACGGUCAAGUCGGGGGUGAAAUCUUUCAGCUUAACUGGAAAAGUGCCUCCGAUACUGACUGUCUCGAGGGAGGUAGGGGCAUGUGGAACUUCCGGUGGAGCGGUGGAAAUGCGUAGAUAUCGGAAGGAACGCCGGUGGCGAAAGCGACGUGCUGGACCUCUUCUGACGCUGGAGGCGCGAAAGCUAGGGGAGCAAACGGG